rnacentral:rRNA from 3 species
GUUAAGUUGCAGGGUAUAGACCCGAAACCCGGUGAUCUAGCCAUGGGCAGGUUGAAGGUUGGGUAACACUAACUGGAGGACCGAACCGACUAAUGUUGAAAAAUUAGCGGAUGACCUGUGGCUGGGGGUGAAAGGCCAAUCAAACCGGGAGAUAGCUGGUUCUCCCCGAAAGCUAUUUAGGUAGCGCCUCGUGAAUUCAUCUCCGGGGGUAGAGCACUGUUUCGGCUAGGGGGCCAUCCCGGCUUACCAACCCGAUGCAAACUGCGAAUACCGGAGAAUGUUAUCACGGGAGACACACGGCGGGUGCUAACGUCCGUCGUGAAGAGGGAAACAACCCAGACCGCCAGCUAAGGUCCCAAAGUCAUGGUUAAGUGGGAAACGAUGUGGGAAGGCCCAGACAGCCAGGAUGUUGGCUUAGAAGCAGCCAUCAUUUAAAGAAAGCGUAAUAGCUCACUGGUCGAGUCGGCCUGCGCGGAAGAUGUAACGGGGCUAAACCAUGCACCGAAGCUGCGGCAGCGACACUGUGUGUUGUUGGGUAGGGGAGCGUUCUGUAAGCCUGUGAAGGUGUGUCGUGAGGCAUGCUGGAGGUAUCAGAAGUGCGAAUGCUGACAUAAGUAACGAUAAAGCGGGUGAAAAGCCCGCUCGCCGGAAGACCAAGGGUUCCUGUCCAACGUUAAUCGGGGCAGGGUGAGUCGACCCCUAAGGCGAGGCCGAAAGGCGUAGUCGAUGGGAAACGGGUUAAUAUUCCCGUACUUGGUGUUACUGCGAAGGGGGGACGGAGAAGGCUAUGUUGGCCGGGCGACGGUUGUCCCGGUUUAAGCGUGUAGGUGUGUGUUCCAGGUAAAUCCGGUUCACUUUAACACUGAGGCGUGACGACGAGGCACUACGGUGCUGAAGCAACAAAUGCCCUGCUUCCAGGAAAAGCCUCUAAGCAUCAGGUAACAUCAAAUCGUACCCCAAACCGACACAGGUGGUCAGGUAGAGAAUACCAAGGCGCUUGAGAGAACUCGGGUGAAGGAACUAGGCAAAAUGGUGCCGUAACUUCGGGAGAAGGCACGCUGACACGUAGGUGAAGUGAUUUACUCAUGGAGCUGAAGUCAGUCGAAGAUACCAGCUGGCUGCAACUGUUUAUUAAAAACACAGCACUGUGCAAACACGAAAGUGGACGUAUACGGUGUGACGCCUGCCCGGUGCCGGAAGGUUAAUUGAUGGGGUCAGCGCAAGCGAAGCUCCUGAUCGAAGCCCCGGUAAACGGCGGCCGUAACUAUAACGGUCCUAAGGUAGCGAAAUUCCUUGUCGGGUAAGUUCCGACCUGCACGAAUGGCGUAAUGAUGGCCAGGCUGUCUCCACCCGAGACUCAGUGAAAUUGAACUCGCUGUGAAGAUGCAGUGUACCCGCGGCAAGACGGAAAGACCCCGUGAACCUUUACUAUAGCUUGACACUGAACAUUGAGCCUUGAUGUGUAGGAUAGGUGGGAGGCUUUGAAGUGUGGACGCCAGUCUGCAUGGAGCCGACCUUGAAAUACCACCCUUUAAUGUUUGAUGUUCUAACGUGGACCCGUUACCCGGGUUGCGGACAGUGUCUGGUGGGUAGUUUGACUGGGGCGGUCUCCUCCUAAAGAGUAACGGAGGAGCACG